CACUCCUACGGGAGGCAGCAGUGGGGAAUAUUGCACAAUGGGCGCAAGCCUGAUGCAGCCAUGUCGCGUGUAUGAAGAAGGCCUUCGGGUUGUAAAGUACUUUCAGCGGGGAGGAAGGCGAUAAGGUUAAUAACCUUGUCGAUUGACGUUACCCGCAGAAGAAGCACCGGCUAACUCCGUGCCAGCAGCCGCGGUAAUACGGAGGGUGCAAGCGAUAAUCGGCAUUACUGGGCGUAAAGCGCACGCAGGCGGUCUGUCAAGUCGGAUGUGAAAUCCCCGGGCUCAACCUGGGAACUGCAUUCGAAACUGGCAGGCUAGAGUCUUGUAGAGGGGGGUAGAAUUCCAGGUGUAGCGGUGAAAUGCGUAGAGAUCUGGAGGAAUACCGGUGGCGAAGGCGGCCCCCUGGACAAAGACUGACGCUCAGGUGCGAAAGCGUGGGGAGCAAACAGGAUUAGAAACCCGUGUAGUCCCAUGAU
rnacentral:rRNA from 1 species